GAUGAACGCUGGCGGCGUGCCUAAUACAUGCAAGUCGAGCGAACGGACGAGAAGCUUGCUUCUCUGAUGUUAGCGGCGGGCGGGUGAGUAACCCGUGGAUAACCUACCUAUAAGACUGGGAUAACUUCGGGAAACCGGAGCUAAUACCGGAUAAUAUUUUGAACCGCAUGGUUCAAAAGUGAAAGACGGUCUUGCUGUCACUUUUAGAUGGAUCCGCGCUGCAUUAGCUAGUUGGUAAGGUAACGGCUUACCAAGGCAACGAUGCAUAGCCGACCUGAGAGGGUGAUCGGCCACACUGGAACUGAGACACGGUCCAGACUCCUACGGGAGGCAGCAGUAGGGAAUCUUCCGCAAUGGGCGAAAGCCUGACGGAGCAACACCGCGUGAGUGAUGAAGGUCUUCGGAUCGUAAAACUCUGUUAUUAGGGAAGAACAUAUGUGUAAGUAACUGUGCACAUCUUGACGGUACCUAAUCAGAAAGCCACGGCUAACUACGUG
rnacentral:rRNA from 1 species